AUUAUUUCAUCCCACUCUUCUGUGAGUUUCUAUUAUUUCCCAUGAAUUAUGCAGCUACUUACCAUCCGAGGGUCUAGUUUUUGGCUGUCAUCCUAUGGAGUCAUUGCUUUCUGUGGACUUCCUGGCAUUGGCCUUAAUCAAGAGCUGGUGAGGGAUAAAAGCCCUUGGCUGGUCUCGUAUCUGCACUUUUUGCAUCAUCUUUGUAUUUUUAAUCUGGUAGAGGUAUUUUGAAGAGCUCGUGGCCAUAGCAACCGAAGUUGUUUGAAAGGCUGCAAAAGGUUCAGCUGCCUGCAGAACUGACCAUGAAAAAGCAAGGACAAACUGAAGUCAAGAAGUAAGA